GGGGGUGCACCGGUUUCGACUGGAACGAAGGUGUGUCUGGUUGCAGGUGGAGGGCCGAUCUCCUAAAAACGGCAAAACAAUAUAACUGCCAAUAACGCAGAUUAUCAACUGGCCGCAGCGUAAGCUUGGCCACGGGCUUGCGGCACACCGCCUUGAGGGCCGCAUAGCUUGACACAAAACCAGGGCUUUCCGACCAGGGGAUCCGGCCCCUGGAAGGGAAACAUGCCGGAAUACGGCGAAAGCGGGCCUUCGUUCCGCCUGCCACGCCCGACAAUUUAAGGACCGAAUAAACCUGUAGAAAGCCUGAUGUAUCCGUUUUAGGACGUGGGUCCGAUUCCCACCACCUCCAAAA
rnacentral:tmRNA from 1 species